GUGAGACCCCCUUCCUGAGGGUGUCAGGAUUUUAAACCCCUUUGGAAUGAAGUUCAGGACACUGCUGCUUUGUGGCCGAAGGUGUCCAGUGGACGGGAGCCCUGGUGCCUCAUACCUAGACAGCUGUUAAGCCUUCAAAGGACCUUCUGCUGUUGACCUUUUUUAGUCAAAAGAUAUGGACUAUUGCGGACACUGUGAAUUUGGACAAAUUACUUCCCCUCUCUGAACUUGUUUAUUUGUAAAAUUAGAUAAGAAUUCCUGCCCUGCCCAUCUUUCAGGGUUGCUAUAAGGAUUAAAUGAGAGAAAAUACAUGAAAAUAAGUGCUUUGUAAACUCUAAGGUAAAAAAAUUGAGUGAUUAAUUAUAACCCACAUUGUUUCUUCCUUAUACUUUCAUAUAUACAGGGACUUCCAUAGGAUCAAAGGAUGUAGACCUGGAAGGGACCUUAGACAUCAAUGAAUCCUGCUGCCUCAUUUUACAGAUGAAGGAAGCGAGGAAGCUGGGGCAGAAGUUAAAUGACUGGCCCAGGGUCACAUAGGGAGUUUCUGAAUUCAGACCUUCCUGACUCCAUCUCUAGCUCUGUAUCCACUGAACCUCUUUAGUCGCCUCAUCAAAUUGCUGUACUAGCCCUUCAGUAAUUAAUGGCUAGAAAGUAGCUCCCUGUGUUCAACUGAAACUAGGCAGAGGAUAUUGUGCCUGCCUCUCUAUCACUGACCUGGUAGAGUAAAUAUAUUUAUGCUCUAAGGAA